rnacentral:rRNA from 1 species
UACGGAGGGUGCAAGCGUUAAUCGGAAUUACUGGGCGUAAAGCGCGCGUAGGCGGUUUGUUAAGUCAGAUGUGAAAGCCCAGGGCUCAACCUUGGAACUGCAUCUGAUACUGGCAGGCUAGAGUACAGGAGAGGGAAGUGGAAUUUCAGGUGUAGCGGUGAAAUGCGUAGAGAUCUGAAGGAACACCAGUGGCGAAGGCGACUUCCUGGACUGAUACUGACGCUGAGUGCGAAGCGUGGGAGCAACAGGAUUAGAUACCGCGUAGUCC